rnacentral:rRNA from 1 species
GACGAACGCUGGCGGCGUGCUUAACACAUGCAAGUCGAACGGAAAGGCCCUGCUUUUGUGGGGUGCUCGAGUGGCGAACGGGUGAGUAACACGUGAGUAACCUGCCCUUGACUUUGGGAUAACUUCAGGAAACUGGGGCUAAUACCGGAUAGGAGCUCCUGCUGCAUGGUGGGGGUUGGAAAGUUUCGGCGGUUGGGGAUGGACUCGCGGCUUAUCAGCUUGUUGGUGGGGUAGUGGCUUACCAAGGCUUUGACGGGUAGCCGGCCUGAGAGGGUGACCGGCCACAUUGGGACUGAGAUACGGCCCAGACUCCUACGGAAGGCAGCAGUGGGGAAUAUUGCACAAUGGGCGGAAGCCUGAUGCAGCCACGCCGCGUGCGGGAUGACGGCCUUCGGGUUGUAAACCGCUUUCGCCUGUGACGAAGCGUGAGUGACGGUAAUGGGUAAAGAAGCACCGGCUAACUACGUG